GGGUUGUGAGGUUAAGCGACUAAGCGUACACGGUGGAUGCCCUGGCAGUCAGAGGCGAUGAAGGACGUGCUAAUCUGCGAUAAGCGUCGGUAAGGUGAUAUGAACCGUUAUAACCGGCGAUUUCCGAAUGGGGAAACCCAGUGUGUUUCGACACACUAUCAUUAACUGAAUCCAUAGGUUAAUGAGGCGAACCGGGGGAACUGAAACAUCUAAGUACCCCGAGGAAAAGAAAUCAACCGAGAUUCCCCCAGUAGCGGCGAGCGAACGGGGAGCAGCCCAGAGCCUGAAUCAGUGUGUGUGUUAGUGGAAGCGUCUGGAAAGGCGCGCGAUACAGGGUGACAGCCCCGUACACAAAAAUGCACAUAUUGUGAGCUCGAUGAGUAGGGCGGGACACGUGGUAUCCUGUCUGAAUAUGGGGGGGACCAUCCUCCAAGGCUAAAUACUCCUGACUGACCGAUAGUGAACCAGUACCGUGAGGGAAAGGCGAAAAGAACCCCGGCGAGGGGAGUGAAAAAGAACCUGAAACCGUGUACGUACAAGCAGUGGGAGCACGCUUAGGCGUGUGACUGCGUACCUUUUGUAUAAUGGGUCAGCGACUUAUAUUCUGUAGCAAGGUUAACCGAAUAGGGGAGCCGAAGGGAAACCGAGUCUUAACUGGGCGUUAAGUUGCAGGGUAUAGACCCGAAACCCGGUGAUCUAGCCAUGGGCAGGUUGAAGGUUGGGUAACACUAACUGGAGGACCGAACCGACUAAUGUUGAAAAAUUAGCGGAUGACUUGUGGCUGGGGGUGAAAGGCCAAUCAAACCGGGAGAUAGCUGGUUCUCCCCGAAAGCUAUUUAGGUAGCGCCUCGUGAAUUCAUCUCCGGGGGUAGAGCACUGUUUCGGCAAGGGGGUCAUCCCGACUUACCAACCCGAUGCAAACUGCGAAUACCGGAGAAUGUUAUCACGGGAGACACACGGCGGGUGCUAACGUCCGUCGUGAAGAGGGAAACAACCCAGACCGCCAGCUAAGGUCCCAAAGUCAUGGUUAAGUGGGAAACGAUGUGGGAAGGCCCAGACAGCCAGGAUGUUGGCUUAGAAGCAGCCAUCAUUUAAAGAAAGCGUAAUAGCUCACUGGUCGAGUCGGCCUGCGCGGAAGAUGUAACGGGGCUAAACCAUGCACCGAAGCUGCGGCAGCGACGCUUAUGCGUUGUUGGGUAGGGGAGCGUUCUGUAAGCCUGUGAAGGUGUGCUGUGAGGCAUGCUGGAGGUAUCAGAAGUGCGAAUGCUGACAUAAGUAACGAUAAAGCGGGUGAAAAGCCCGCUCGCCGGAAGACCAAGGGUUCCUGUCCAACGUUAAUCGGGGCAGGGUGAGUCGACCCCUAAGGCGAGGCCGAAAGGCGUAGUCGAUGGGAAACAGGUUAAUAUUCCUGUACUUGGUGUUACUGCGAAGGGGGGACGGAGAAGGCUAUGUUGGCCGGGCGACGGUUGUCCCGGUUUAAGCGUGUAGGCUGGUUUUCCAGGCAAAUCCGGAAAAUCAAGGCUGAGGCGUGAUGACGAGGCACUACGGUGCUGAAGCAACAAAUGCCCUGCUUCCAGGAAAAGCCUCUAAGCAUCAGGUAACAUCAAAUCGUACCCCAAACCGACACAGGUGGUCAGGUAGAGAAUACCAAGGCGCUUGAGAGAACUCGGGUGAAGGAACUAGGCAAAAUGGUGCCGUAACUUCGGGAGAAGGCACGCUGAUAUGUAGGUGAAGUCCCUCGCGGAUGGAGCUGAAAUCAGUCGAAGAUACCAGCUGGCUGCAACUGUUUAUUAAAAACACAGCACUGUGCAAACACGAAAGUGGACGUAUACGGUGUGACGCCUGCCCGGUGCCGGAAGGUUAAUUGAUGGGGUCAGCGCAAGCGAAGCUCUUGAUCGAAGCCCCGGUAAACGGCGGCCGUAACUAUAACGGUCCUAAGGUAGCGAAAUUCCUUGUCGGGUAAGUUCCGACCUGCACGAAUGGCGUAAUGAUGGCCAGGCUGUCUCCACCCGAGACUCAGUGAAAUUGAACUCGCUGUGAAGAUGCAGUGUACCCGCGGCAAGACGGAAAGACCCCGUGAACCUUUACUAUAGCUUGACACUGAACAUUGAGCCUUGAUGUGUAGGAUAGGUGGGAGGCUUUGAAGUGUGGACGCCAGUCUGCAUGGAGCCGGCCUUGAAAUACCACCCUUUAAUGUUUGAUGUUCUAACGUGGACCCGUGAUCCGGGUUGCGGACAGUGUCUGGUGGGUAGUUUGACUGGGGCGGUCUCCUCCUAAAGAGUAACGGAGGAGCACGAAGGUUGGCUAAUCCUGGUCGGACAUCAGGAGGUUAGUGCAAUGGCAUAAGCCAGCUUGACUGCGAGCGUGACGGCGCGAGCAGGUGCGAAAGCAGGUCAUAGUGAUCCGGUGGUUCUGAAUGGAAGGGCCAUCGCUCAACGGAUAAAAGGUACUCCGGGGAUAACAGGCUGAUACCGCCCAAGAGUUCAUAUCGACGGCGGUGUUUGGCACCUCGAUGUCGGCUCAUCACAUCCUGGGGCUGAAGUAGGUCCCAAGGGUAUGGCUGUUCGCCAUUUAAAGUGGUACGCGAGCUGGGUUUAGAACGUCGUGAGACAGUUCGGUCCCUAUCUGCCGUGGGCGCUGGAGAACUGAGGGGGGCUGCUCCUAGUACGAGAGGACCGGAGUGGACGCAUCACUGGUGUUCGGGUUGUCAUGCCAAUGGCACUGCCCGGUAGCUAAAUGCGGAAGAGAUAAGUGCUGAAAGCAUCUAAGCACGAAACUUGCCCCGAGAUGAGUUCUCCCUGACUCCUUGAGAGUCCUGAAGGAACGUUGAAGACGACGACGUUGAUAGGCCGGGUGUGUAAGCGCAGCGAUGCGUUGAGCUAACCGGUACUAAUGAACCGUGAGGCUUAACCUUACAACGCCGAAGCUGUU
rnacentral:rRNA from 1 species